UACAGAGGUCCCAAGCGUUGUUCGGAUUCACUGGGCGUAAAGGGUGCGUAGGCGGCGAGGUAAGUCUGGUGUGAAAUCUCCGGGCUCAACCCGGAAACGGCAUCAGAUACUACCCCGAUAGAGGAUCGGAGAGGAGACUGGAAUUCUAGGUGUAGCAGUGAAAUGCGUAGAUAUCGAGAGGAACACCAGUGGCGAAAGCGAGUCUCUGGACGAUUCCUGACGCUGAGGCACGAAGGCUAGGGGAGCAAACAGG
rnacentral:misc_RNA from 1 species